rnacentral:lncRNA from 1 species
UGGGUCUGGCUGCCCGCAUGCCGCACAUUCCUUGGAGUGGCCGCCCCCUCUCCGGUUUUUCCCCUCGGUUCUCUGCCCGAGCACCCGCGGCGGUUUGGCUGCAGGCUCGAAGCCCCUUUUACGGGCAUCGCAUCAGGGAUCCAGUUUGGCACCAGGGUAGGAACCGAACUGAUCCCCAGAUUUUUUUUUCUUUUUGGUGUUUUCUUUCAUCUUCCACAGUGUCUUCUUGUCCCCCUUCCCCAGAAAAGGUGCACACAAUUCCUGCUGCUUCGACGAACAAAUCAGCUUCCAACCAACCUCUACAAAUCGUUCCCCAAUUUACAUGUCAACAUUAUAGCAGUGGAAACGGGUCUCUCCUCCCAUUCCCCCACUCAGGUACCCAAGGCAAAGUUUUGCAUUUCACGCCUAUGCCGGAGUUGACAAGCUUCCCUUCAAGAUGUCAUACCAGAAAGAGAGCAAAAAUCAUUUCAGUCCGCCGUUGGUUUUUAUAGUGUGGCUUGCAGAUUUUAGUGGGUGUGCUGUGUGAAUAUCUGAUGCUUAUCUAAGACCCCACUGACCCUCGAAGAAUCAACAGCGAAUGAAAAGAGCAAAUGUAGGUAAGGGGAAGCCACUUGCAAUAUCUGUUAAUGGCUGAAUGAACAUGCUUUCUAAGACUGUGUAUGCUACAGACUUAACUUUAAAAGGUUAAAAAAAAGGUCUGACAGUGGGUCUG